rnacentral:ncRNA from 1 species
GCGGAUGAUAAUUCUUCACUACCAGGAUUUGGCGAUUAUGUCCCUUAAUCCCUAGUCACACUUUCAAAGGAGAGGAAUAUAUAAGGUAUUCUGAAAACCAACAAAAUAGAACCGAUGUCCAAUUCCAUUAUUCCAUGCCUCCGACCCUCUGGGGACGAGCGCUUUUAUUAGACCAAAACCAAUCGGACCUCGAGUCUAUAUUAUGUAGUGAAUCUGUAUAACUCUGUGCUGAUGGCAGGACUCGUUCCGACGACUUAUCUUUCGAGUGUCUGCCUUAUCAGCUGCCUAUGUUUGGUUACACGCUUACCAAGGUCGUAACGGGUGAUGGGAAAUCAGGGUUGGAUUCCUGAGAGGGAGCCUGAGAAACGGAAUCACAUUCAAGGAAGGCA